GAGUUUGAUCCUGGCUCAGAUUGAACGCUGGCGGCAGGCCUAACACAUGCAAGUCGAGCGGUAACAGAUCCAGCUUGCUGGAUGCUGACGAGCGGCGGACGGGUGAGUAAUGCAUAGGAAUCUGCCCGAUAGUGGGGGAUAACCUGGGGAAACCCAGGCUAAUACCGCAUACGUCCUACGGGAGAAAGGGGGCUCCGGCUCCCGCUAUUGGAUGAGCCUAUGUCGGAUUAGCUAGUUGGUGAGGUAACGGCUCACCAAGGCCACGAUCCGUAGCUGGUCUGAGAGGAUGAUCAGCCACAUCGGGACUGAGACACGGCCCGAACUCCUACGGGAGGCAGCAGUGGGGAAUAUUGGACAAUGGGGGAAACCCUGAUCCAGCCAUGCCGCGUGUGUGAAGAAGGCCCUCGGGUUGUAAAGCACUUUCAGCGAGGAAGAACGCCUAGCGGUUAAUACCCGCUAGGAAAGACAUCACUCGCAGAAGAAGCACCGGCUAACUCCGUGCCAGCAGCCGCGGUAAUACGGAGGGUGCGAGCGUUAAUCGGAAUUACUGGGCGUAAAGCGCGCGUAGGUGGCUUGAUAAGCCGGUUGUGAAAGCCCCGGGCUCAACCUGGGAACGGCAUCCGGAACUGUCAAGCUAGAGUGCAGGAGAGGAAGGUAGAAUUCCCGGUGUAGCGGUGAAAUGCGUAGAGAUCGGGAGGAAUACCAGUGGCGAAGGCGGCCUUCUGGACUGACACUGACACUGAGGUGCGAAAGCGUGGGUAGCAAACAGGAUUAGAUACCCUGGUAGUCCACGCCGUAAACGAUGUCGACCAGCCGUUGGGUGCCUAGCGCACUUUGUGGCGAAGUUAACGCGAUAAGUCGACCGCCUGGGGCGUACGGCCGCAAGGUUAAAACUCAAAUGAAUUGACGGGGGCCCGCACAAGCGGUGGAGCAUGUGGUUUAAUUCGAUGCAACGCGAAGAACCUUA
rnacentral:rRNA from 1 species